CCCCGGAACCAAGAAUCUUCAGUCUGGGGAACUCAAACAGUAGAAAUGUUGCCAUCGGACCCCUUAACCAGCUGAAGCAAGAAGUCCUUCAGUAAGGAAAAUCCGGCUUCCAUCUGCCAUAGUACCUUGUUUACCAUAUAUGGACUGCUUUGAAAACUAGCCAAUCAGCUUGUGCCAAGUUUGAAAUUUCCCUAACCCUUUAAAUUUUGCCCCAAACCCUGGCUGGGGGAGACAGAUUUGAGCCCUGCCUCCUGUCUCCUUGCCGGUCGACCUCGCAAUAAAGCUUUUUCUUUUCUCAAAAGCUGGUGCCAUAGUAUUGGCUUCUAUGCGCGCCAGUCGGUGAGCCCUUGCUCGGUGAGAAUUUCUGGCGAUCGCAAACGAACUAAGCUCCUGUGAUCGCCUGGCUGAGGCACUGUAGCCCCCGGCUGGGUGUAGGCCCUCGUCACCGACCCUGAGUGGCCACCUAGACCCGAUUUGUCUAGAGGCUCGGCUGUCGGGUUCCUGCUUCCCGCAGCAACUGCGCUCCAGGCUCCUCCGCGCUACUUUCACUUUUGGGGAAAGAAACAUCUGGAUCUUUUGGCAGAAAAAGUAGACACCAAAGUACUCCCAGGUCAAGACUGCGCCCUCCAAGCUGCGCCAUUACAAUUGGGAGACAAGCCUCAACCAGAUGUCCCUGAAGAAAUUCUUCAAAAGGUAAGAGCAGAAGUUUGGGCUGACAGGACACCAGGAAGAGCCAAGACAGCUGACCCAGUAGUAGUAAAACUCCAUCCAGGUGCCCAUGCUCCAAAGUUAAAGCAAUCCCCUUUAAAGAGGCACCCAAAGGAAGGUAUAAAGCCUCUGAUAAACACUUUUUUAAAAUGCCAAUUAAUCUGACCUUGUCAGUCCCCAUAUAACACUCCCAUCCUGCCAGUACAAAAACCUGGGACUGGAGAUUAUCGUUUUGUACAGGAUUUGAGAGCUGUCCACCAAAUUGUAGAGGAUGUACAUUCGGUGAUGCCAAAUCCUUAUACUUUGCUUACAACUUUAUCUGGAGACUUUUGCUGGUUUACAGUUCUGAACUUAAAAGAUGCCUUUUAUUGCAUACCCCUAAGUCCUGAGUCCCAGGAACUGUUUGCCUUUGAGUGGAAUGAUCCAGAGACUAAUAUAAAACAGCAGUAUUGCCGGACUGUACUUCCACAAGGAUUUAAAAAUGCCCCCACCGGGCUUCCCUGGUGGCGCAGUGGUUGAGAGUCCGCCUGCCGAUGCAGGGGAAACGGGUUCGUGCCCCCGUCUGGGAGGAUCCCACAUGCCGCGGAGCGGCUGGGCCCGUGGGCCAUGGCCGCUGGGCCUGUGCGUCCGGAGCCUGUGCUCCGCAACGGGAGAGGCCACAGCAGUGAGAGGCCCACAUACCGCAAAAAAAAAAAAAAAAAAAAAAUGCCCCCACCAUCUUUGUGGAGGCCUUAGCCAAGGACUUAAAGGAUCUCCAAAUAAAUGAAGGAAUCUUACUCCAGUAUGUGGGUGAUAUACUUACUAGUGCUAGUAUAACUAAGGAAGCUUCAGACCAAAAUACAAUCCUCACUUUAAACUUUUUGGCAGACUGGGGAUAUAAAAUCCCCAAGGGAAAGGCACAAAUUUCUCAACCAGCUGUAAAAUAUCUAGGAAUUGAGUUAUCAAAAGGAGAAAGAAACUUGCCAGAUCGAAGGGAAGCACCCACCACCAGAAAGCAAUUGAGAAGAUUCUUAGGAAUGGCUGGGUUUUGUCGUAUUUGGAUUCCUGACUUCGGACUUGUAGUCAAACCUCUACAUGAGGCUCUCAAAGAAAUGCCAAUGAGCCAUUAAGCUGGACUGCAUGAGUCAUUCCGUACCAUCAAGGAGAAAAUUUCAACAGCCCCAGCACUUGGUCUCCCAGACAUUAGAAAGUUAUUUGAUCUUUUUGUGCAUGAAAGACAGAGCAUGAGUCUUUGGAGUGCUAACUCAAAAUUUAAAUACUGCCAGAAGGCCAGUAGCUUACUUUUCCAAACAAUUGGAUGUUGUAACUCAAGGAUGGCCAGUUUGCCUCCGGGCUGUGGCUGCAACCUGUGACCUUUUACAAGAAGCUGAAAAAUUUACCCUGGGUUGUCCUACCACUAUGCACACCCCACAUGGUGUGCAACUUUUACUCGAACAAAAGGGCCGAUCUUGGCUUACUUUGGGGAGACUGGGCAAAUACCAGGCCAUACUAUUUGACAACCCAAAGGUAACAUUGUAUCUGCUUUAAACCCAGCCACUCUGCUCCCCAGAAGAACCUGUUCACGAUUGUACAUGAAAAACAGAAGAACCUGUCCAUGAUUGUAUACGAAAAAUUGAAGAAGAGUAUUCUAGCAGACCUGACCUGCCUGAUCAGCCUUCAGAGAAUCCAGAUACGGAAAUGUUUGCAGUCGGGAACAGCCUCGUGGAUCGUGGACUCCGAAAAGCUGGAUAUGCAGUAGCAACUCAUCAGGAGGUCGUAGAAGCAGAAGACCUCCCUCCAGAGACAGCACUCCCAUGUGCAAGGCAGGAACCCAUGUCUCCAGGAUGACCCCAGAACCAAGAAUCUUCAGUCUGCAGAACUCAAACAAUAGACAUGUUGCCACUGGAGCCCUUUACCAAGCAAGAAGUUCUUCAAAAAGAAAAAUCCAGCUUCCAGCUGCCCAAAUAGCUUGAUUCCAAUCAGCUUCUGACCGUCAACACUAGCCAAUAAGCUUGUGCCAAGUUUGAAAUUCCCCUAACUUCUUACAUUUUGCCCUGAACACUGGACAGGGAGACAGAUUUGAGCCCUGCCUCCUGUCGGUUGACUCACAAUAAAAUGCUUUCUUUUCUCAAAA